UACGGAGGAUGCAAGCGUUAUCCGGAAUGAUUGGGCGUAAAGCGUCCGCAGGUGGCAAUGUAAGUCUGCUGUUAAAGAGUCUAGCUCAACUAGAUAAAAGCAGUGGAAACUACAUAGCUAGAGUACGUUCGGGGCAGAGGGAAUUCCUGGUGUAGCGGUGAAAUGCGUAGAUAUCGAGAGGAACACCUGCGGCGAAGGCGGGUAGCUGGGCCGACACUGACGCUGAGGCGCGAAAGCCAGGGGAGCGAACGGG
rnacentral:rRNA from 1 species